GAAUUUUGGUAUAGCAUUAGAAAUGUAAAUGAGCUAAAUACCUAAUAAAAAAUGGAAAAAAAAAUAAAGCCCUUGAUUUGACUAAGCUCCAUGCGCUAUGGAAGUGAUGACAUAUGUUUGUAAUGCCAGCACUCCUGCAGCUCAAGGAAGAUCAGAAAUUCAGGGUCAUCUUGAUUACAUAGAAACUUUGAGACCCACUCAAGAUAUGGGCAGUUCUGUUCCCACCUCAUCCUCCCAUAAGUAAAUAAGUAAGUAAGUAAAUAAAUAAAUAAAUAAAGCAAAGCAAGGAAAGCCAAGGGGCUCGGGGAGGAAAAAAAAUAAAAAUAAAAAACGUUUUCUUCUAGAUUUCCCAUGAGAAGUUUUACUGUUUGGGAUUAUAUUUGAGUAUUAUAUUUAGAGUUAAACUUUAAUAAAGGUACAAAAUAUGUUUAUUUCUUGAAAUGUGUCUGUCAUAAUUUUAUAUACCAAAUGAAUAUGGUACAAAGUAAUAUAGUACUUGGAAUAUAUUUUUCAUUUAAAUUAUUUUGACAAAUAUUCUUUGAGUUAAUUAUAGCCAUUUGAAAGAAAAAAAUAAGUUAUGGACAGAUGCUACAUCUUAUAAAUAGGUAAAAAUAUCAAUGAAGUCAUGUACUGUGGAGUAUUUAGGAAGAUUGCUCAAUUGUUCAUUCUGUUUUUCUAAGUAUAGAUUGGCAUUUAAGUUAUCCAUAUACCUGUGUAAAAGUAUGUACGAAGAAAACAUCUUUUUUUGUAAAUUUUAUUAGAGUGUAUUAUUUUGUACAAAAUAAUAGAUUGCACUGUAUCAUUUUUAUGCAUGCAUAUUAUAUUUUGGUCAUGUUUACAAUCCCUAUUCCUUUAAACUUCUGCAAAAAAUGGUGUAUAUUCAAAUAUUUAGGAAGUUAUGACCAAUAAAUUUGAGGAAAAGGAUUGCUUUCAGUGUAUUGGUUUUGAAGAGCAUGUAGAGACUAGUUUUUAGUGAAUAUAUUUUUAUACAUUCUUAAUUUAAUAGCAAAGCCCUUAGUCCUGCUUUGGAGGGGCUGAGGAAGUAACUCAGGGGUCAACUGCUUGCCUAGCAGGUGUGAAGUCCUUCCUACAAACCACAGCAUUGCUGAAAAGAAGCAACUAAUGGAUGUAAAACAAUGCUCUCAUUUAAUCAAAAUAGGCAGAGGAGCUAACUUCAUCACAGAGGUUUGGUGCCACAUCUUUCAUCUUGCACCUCUUCCUGGGUUUGCUAUUCCGAGUUCCCUGCCUUUUCUUCCCUUAACUCAUAGCUGUUCCUCUGCUCUGGGACCCUAAUAAAUCUCUAGGUUGCUGUUGGUGAAAGAAAUGAAAUAGUAAAUAGGAAUUAAGACUUUUCACCCGAAUCAAGUAGUGCCCAGCAACAGAAGAACUCUGGGCUGCAGCUGCUCACAAUAUGGGUGGCUACCUGAUGCUUUGGAUAGAUAGAUAGAUAGAUAGAUAGAUAGAUAGAUAGAUAGAUAGAUAGAUAGAUAGAUAGAUGGAUGAAUAGAUAGACAGACAGGCAGACAGACAGAUAGGCAGAUAGAGUCAGAACCUGUUUGAUAUUCUGUG
rnacentral:lncRNA from 1 species